GUUCUGGCCCAAGUCGGAUUUUACCAACCUCUUCGUUAUCAUCUGCCAUUUGCAGCGCACCUCGCCUCUUUCGCCAGCACCGCCGCCCUCGCCGUCCUUCCUUCCCGCCCCGCCGCCGCGCGCCGUUCGAGCACCGCCAGAGAUCCGCGUUUCGCCUCCCACUAAGGCCCCGCACGCGCCCAUUCCACGACCCUCGUCGUGGCUCCCGGUCGAUAGUCCCGCGCGCACGGCUAAGGAAUCGAUUUAUUCAAACCUUGCUUUUCCUGGUGAGUGGUGAAAUGCAAUCUCUCAAUGAGUUGUUUAGUACAGAAAAAAAUCCGAAUUAUGCUGGCUACAAAUAACCAAAGAAUAAGGGCGAAGCCGCAGUCCACCGACAGUUUCCUGGGAAAAGAACCCUAGAAGCACAACUCAUUUCUGGUAGCCGUUGACGAGGACGGUGCAGCUCUUCCUGGUGUCCCAUUAGGAGCCAAAACCCAGCUCGGAUGCUGCUCUAUUCCUAAGGGUCUGCUGUAAAAUUUAGCGCCUUGUUGCUUCCGAACACAUUAAUGUGCUUGAAUUUUUCUGUUGUUUUUGUAAGAGCAGCUUUUUUUUCCGAGAAACGCAGAAGCGCUUUGCAUCUCGAUGCAGUGAUAGACAAGAGAAAAGUUAUGAUAUAGACACCGCCUUGAAGCCA